AAAAAAUUCAUUCCAAUUUAUUCUCAUUUUAUAGGGUAAAUUAUUAAGGAAUAUGUAAAGCAUAGUAUGGAGAAGCUACCAAGAACAUUCGAAUGAGAUGAUUUGAGGAGUAAAUCACAUCCAACUUAUUCAACUAUUUUUCGGACGAAUUAAAAGAAGAUGCACAAGGAGAAAAGGCCGGAAGACAUUGCUAUAUAAGGAGACUCAAUUCUUAUUGUUUGAUAAGAUCUUUGGUGCGCAAGAGCUAGGUUCUUUGUGCUAGGGUUUAAUUCUUUUGUUUCUUGUCUUCAAAGCUAGUGUCAUAUCUGGAUUAGUAUGUAAUCUAUUGUUGCACACCUCUAUGAUUCACUAACUUGACAUCAAAGGUUUGUCUUAGUUGAGUUAUAAUUUUCAACAUUGUUCAUUGAAUUGUAAACACCAAUCAUGGGUUGUGUGAUCGAGAAGAACAUGAGUAGUUUCUCAAAUUUAUGGGCUAUCCUUAAUAGAAAGUCACUACUUAAGGAUUA